rnacentral:rRNA from 1 species
CUAGCUGUAAACGAUGGAUACUAGGCGUUGAGAGUAUCGACCCUCUCAGUGUCGUAGCUAACGCGUUAAGUAUCCCGCCUGGGGAGUACGCGCGCAAGCGUGAAACUCAAAGGAAUUGACGGGGGCCCGCACAAGCGGUGGAGUAUGUGGUUUAAUUCGAUGCGACGCGAAGAACCUUACCAGGGCUUGACAUGUCCGGAACCCUGCCCAAAGGCGGGGGUGCCUACGGGAACCGGAACACAGGUGGUGC